GCACUGCCGAGGAGUCCCACAAUAGGACAAAACGACCGUCCAGUGC
rfam:Schistosoma rodhaini strain Burundi genome assembly, scaffold: SROB_scaffold0002177